rnacentral:tRNA from 1 species
GGAUGGGUGGCCGAGCGGUUUAAGGCACCGGUCUUGAAAACCGGCGGACGGGAGACCGUCCCGUGGGUUCGAAUCCCACCCCAUCCG